rnacentral:ncRNA from 1 species
UGUCUCCUCCACCUCCUCCUUUGGUGGAUUAAGCCCGAGCCGAGCUGCUCGGGCUUUUUUUC